CUAUCACUUUAAUGACAACAAGUUAACAGAGUGCAUUAUUUUGUAGUUAUUAGGAAGAAUGGGUACCAUUGAAGAAAUGGGAAAAUGUUGCGUCUACGUUGCUGCGGAAGGCACCUUCAUGACUGGCAUUGACCUGCCCGUGUCUGGAGGAGCAGAGCUAGGUUAUGGACAGAAAUCACAAUAAACAACUCUUGAACUGAACAAUGGACAACUUGCAUGUUAGACUAAAUUUUAAUCUAAGUAAAGAGAAGGGAAUCAAACACCACAGCUAAAAAGAACAUAAUGAAAUUAGUAAAGUUGCAAAAUUUGGUUGCGAAAUGUUGUAAAGUCUUGUAAAGCUUGGAAAAUAUAGUCUUGCAAAGUUUGCAAAUUUUGUAUAUGUUUGUAUUACGUGCGGAAAUUGACAAAUUGUUACCAUUUUCGGCUCAAAAAUGGUAACAAUUUCCGCACGAAAUACAAACAUAUACAAAAUUUGCAAACUUCGCAAGGCUAUAUUUUCCGUAUUUUACAACAUUUCGCAACCAAAUUUUGCAAUUUUACUAAUUUUAAUAAGUUCUUUACUGGAAUUUACUUUUUUUUGCCUAGAUCACUGAAAAAUUAGUCUAACAUGCAAGUUGCCUAUUGUCACAGAAAAUUUGCUGGUGCACGCGUGGACUCGUUUUGAAGAAUUUAUAAAAUGAUCAAAUUAUUGUAACAGAAAAUAACAGUAACUCCGAAUAACAUUUUGAUUUUUAAAAAUCAAAAUGUUAUUCGGAGUUAGUGUUAUUCAGUGAGAGGUUUUCCCCAUAAUUAUUGUAAUAGAAUUAGAGAAAUUUAGUGAACGAACAUUAGUAAGAGGGGGCGUAAGAAGUAAUUAUAUUUAUGAUAUUGAAAUUAAAAUCCUGUAUAAAUGAACUCAUCAGAUGGGUCAUUUUUUAAGCCAUUUAAAACCCUCGUAGUCCGUGCUAUAUCAUGGAAUGUUUAUGUGUCUAUAAAUAAUCAUACCUCACAUGGAUUUGAACUUCUAGCGAACAGAGAAAUGCACAAUUACAAUACGCGAUAUAAGGACAAUUUAAGGCCACCUAAAGUGUCCGGGAAUUGGGGACGGCAAAGACUCGCUUAUCAGGCCAUAACAGACUGCAACAACUUGGACAGAAAGAUAAAACUAUCUACUAGUAUUUCCACAUUUAAGAGAAACUUUUUUAGCAAUCUUUGAACUUUCCCUCGUAUAAUUUUUUAAUAUUUUUCAUAGUUAUGUAGUAUAUGCACAUCUUCCUUGUAAAAUAGUUUAUUUAGUUCAGGACCUUUCUGAAAAUCACUUUGUGAGAAAG